GGGCUCGUAGCUCAACUGGAUAGAGUACCGGCCUUCGAAGCCGGGUGUUGCUGGUUCGAGUCCAGCCGGGCCCACCA
rnacentral:tRNA from 1 species